UUUAUCCACAUCGUACAGUGUUUGUAUUGCCUUUAACUACGCACGUGGAAAUUUGAAAGGUUGUGAAUUAAGAAACAAUCUAGAAUAGUAAUAAAAGUCAGGAAAGAAAUAUUAUCAGAGUGUAAAUAAAACUUUCCUUAUUUUUUAACGUGAAGUAUUGCAUAUUCUAUAAACAGACAGCGUUAAAAAACUUACUUUCUCUUAUUUUAGCAAAAUAAUGAAGGACAAACGUGUUAGAAGCGUAUCGAAAAAGAUUAAGAAGCCUACUACAAAGAAACGUAAACCAUUAAGUAAAGUAACAGUUGAUGAAUUUUUUAAUCAAAGUUUUGAAGAUGAUGGCAGUAAUGAUGAUGAUGAAUAUAAAGAUAAAGAUGAAAAUGUAAAUGAAAAUGUAGAUGAAGACGAAGCAGACAGUAGUGAAAAUGAUAUGGAUCCAAUGGAACACAAAAAAUCCUUAAUGAAAUUGAAACAAACAGACCCUGAGUUUUACACGUAUCUAAAAGAAAAUGAUAAGAAUCUCUUAGAAUUCAAUAUAUCGGAUGAUGAUGGUAUGGAUGAUGAUGAUGAAGAAGAUUCAUCAAAUGAAUUGGAUACAAAACAUAUACCAAGUGAUCGUUUAGAGGUUGCUAGUGAUGAAAGCGAUUAUGAAGGAGAUGAUGGUGCUACAAAGGACAAACGUAAAAUUACGUUACAAUUAUUGAAAACUUGGCAAACUGACAUUCAGAAAGACAAAUCACUGAAAACUAUUAAAUGUGCUAUAGAAGCUUUUCACGCCGCGUUACAAACCGUAGUAGAUGUACCAGAUGCGGACUAUGUGGGGUAUAAAGUAGAGGGUGGUGCAGUUUUUAAUGGAGUUGUUCAGUUAUGUGUAAUGUAUUUGCCUGACGCGUUAAAACAAUACUUAAAGCUGAACUCAGAAUCCCAGGCCCAAGUUCAUAAAUCCAAAAGAUUUGUAAAGAUAAAAAGUAUUUUAAAGUCUUACUUGACGGAUUUAAUUAAGAUUUUACAAAAUGUAACUUCGUCUAAUAUUAUCACAGUGCUUUUAAAGCAUUUACAUCAAAUGUUACCUUACACGCAAUCGUUCUCAUCAUUAAAUAAAAUAUUGCUGAGGAUAUUAUUAAAAUUUUGGACGAGCGGAGAAGAAACUGUACGUGUUGUUUCAUUUUUGUGUAUAUUACGUCUUGCGACGAGUAAUCGAGAAUCACUUCUAGAAAUGCUGUACAAGGCAAUGUAUGUAAAAUACGUUGAAAAUUCCAAAUUUGUGUCCGUAACAACUUUACCCGGAAUAAACUUUAUGAGACAUUCUUUGGUUGAAAUAUACUCGCUCGACCAUAAUCUAGCUUAUAAUCAUGCGUUUUUGUACAUCAGGCAAUUGGCCAUCCAUUUAAGAAAUGCUGUGACUUUAAAGAAGAAGGAACAUUUCCAAGCUGUAUACAAUUGGCAGUAUAUAAAUUCAUUACGCUUCUGGUCAGAAUUAAUAAAUGCAUCUAAAAGCAAUUCUAUGUUACAUUCACUUUUAUAUCCCCUUGUACAGAUUAUUAUAGGAACAAUAAAGGUGAUACCAACUCCACAGUAUUAUCCAUUGAGAUUUCACUGUGUACAAAUAUUAAUAGAUAUUUCUAGAGAAACUGAUACGUUCAUACCCAUGUUACCAUUUUUAUUAGAGAUAUUAGAUUCGUACGAUUUUAACAAAAAACAUAAGGCAGUAUCGAUGAAACCUAUACCUUUUAUUUGCAUAUUAAGAAUGUCUAAGUCCCAGUUACAGGAAAAUGGUUUUAAAGAUAACGUUAUCGAGUCUAUAUACAAACUUAUUUUAGAAAGUGCCGCAAAGGAUAGUUAUAAAAUAUAUUUUCCCGACUUGUACAUACCAUGUAUAAUACAGCUGAAGGCAUUUUUAAAGAAAUGCCACAUAGCAAAUUACUGCAGAAAAAUGAAACAAUUACUGGAAAAGAUCGAGGAAAACCGAAAAUACAUCGAAACAGAACGAAAUAAAACCGUGAUUGAUUUGAAAAACAUGCCAGCGAUAAAGAACUGGGAGAACAAAAUAAAAACAGAAGGAACAUCACUGUCGAAAUUUUACGAGUCGUGGAUAAAUAUUCAUCAGUCUCAGAAACUCAAAUUACUUACAAAGAACGAGGAGUUAGCCGAAUAUAAUAUACCGACGAUCAAAAAAUUAAAGAAAGGAAAAUCAAAAGAAGACAGCGCGGGAGAAAGCGACGAAAGCAGUGACUUUGAAUUGAGGAUAAAGUCCAAUGAAGAAAAAUCUGAAACACGUACCAAACGAAAGAAGAAGAAACCAAAAACUAGCAAAAACAUCGAAGACAUUGAGUUACCAACAGAAAAUACUGAUAUCGUGCAAGACAUAAAGUCCGAGGAUUGGAAUUAAAUUUAUUCAAUUUGCAUACAAGAAUUACGCUAGUAUAAAUGACUAUUAAAUAACGUGAAACAUGAAUCAACAAGAGCUACAAAACCCAAUGAGUGACACGAAUCAAGUAGUCUUAUGACAUUAGUAUGCCACUUGGUAAGAGUGCGUCCGAUAUUUGCAGAGAUUUGGUGAAAGUAUUAAAUUUACUUUCCUGUAAUAGUGCAACAUUGUUCAAAGGAAUUUUGUACGCAUAAUACCGACUCUAGCAAAUGUCGAGAUGGUGCAAUGUAGCGGAAUAUAACAAACGUUGUUAUAAUGAAAGAGCUUCUAGAAGAACGAAGAUAGUUGACAGUCGGUGAAGUUUCCCGCCAACUAUACUUGUAGUUAUGUGUAAGUUUCGUCGAUAUUGCGCGGCUACUUUUCCCAACUCCUCAUUUUGGCGCGCAAGUUCGAACGAGAUGACCUACAAUCUAGGAAGUUGUCGAUUAUGUAUCCGAUCUAAUUUUGACAUUUAUUAUUCCGAUAAAAAAAGAAGUUUUUCCAAGAAUAACCGCGAUAAGGGACAGCAUUAAACGGACGCUAUAAUUUAUGUCUGGUAUGGCUGAAGCCGCCGAUUUCUAAGGUGUCGCUUUCUGAUAGUCUAUUUUUAUCGAAGACGAGUCAAAGCAGUCGGGAAGUUGGUAUAGCAACGGUUGGGCGCUAUUAUAAAGCACCGUGUGCUUGCCGUACCGUAAUUCAUCCAAGCGUGAUCGUUUCAUGUAAGAAAAAGGAUUUCGCGGUUAGAGGAAUAGCCGUGUUUUAUUUACUGAUCGUGCAAGUGACGAAGAGAAGCCUGAACACGCGACACCUUUAUCAUUUGGACGACUGCUAACUCGAGAAAAGGAUUCAGUUACGUAUGUACGGGAAACAUUGAAAGAAAAUGAAACGUUGAAUCUGAGCGUGGAACGAAUACCGUUCUGAUCGCGAGAAAUUGAUGGCAUUUCGUUUUGGUAUAAAAA